rnacentral:rRNA from 1 species
UUGAACGCUGGCGGCAGGCCUAACACAUGCAAGUCGAACGGUAACAGGAAGCAGCUUGCUUCUUCGCUGACGAGUGGCGGACGGGUGAGUAAUGUCUGGGAAACUGCCUGAUGGAGGGGGAUAACUACUGGAAACGGUAGCUAAUACCGCAUAACGUCGCAAGACCAAAGAGGGGGACCUUCGGGCCUCUUGCCAUCGGAUGUGCCCAGAUGGGAUUAGCUUGUGGUGGGGUAACGGCUCACCAGGCGACGAUCCCUAGCUGGUCUGAGAGGAUGACCAGCCACACUGGAACUGAGACACGGUCCAGACUCCUACGGGAGGCAGCAGUGGGGAAUAUUGCACAAUGGGCGCAAGCCUGAUGCAGCCAUGCCGCGUGUAUGAAGAAGGCCUUCGGGUUGUAAAGUACUUUCAGCGGGGAGGAAGGGAGUAAAGUUAAUACCUUUGCUCAUUGACGUUACCCGCAGAAGAAGCACCGGCUAACUCCGUGCCAGCAGCCGCGGUAAUACGGAGGGUGCAAGCGUUAAUCGGAAUUACUGGGCGUAAAGCGCACGCAGGCGGUUUGUUAAGUCAGAUGUGAAAUCCCCGGGCUCAACCUGGGAACUGCAUCUGAUACUGGCAAGCUUGAGUCUCGUAGAGGGGGGUAGAAUUCCAGGUGUAGCGGUGAAAUGCGUAGAGAUCUGGAGGAAUACCGGUGGCGAAGGCGGCCCCCUGGAACGAAG